AUGUUUAGCCAACUAGCCCACCAGAUGAUUUUAAUGCAGUUCCUUUCUUCUACAAAGGGCCCUUUUUCGUACUGUAGCUCUCCCCUGGAUUCAGUUUCUUUUUACAUCAAUGUUAUCGCCAUGUCCACCUGCAAGGCGAGAUUCUAUUCCUUCGCCAUCAGAAAUGGAGUCGUCCCACACGACCUCUAUGGGUUGUUCGGCUGCGCAAGGCCGUCUAUUCAGCAUUCCAAGAGGAUUUGCAGAAUUGUUCGAUCUGAGAUGUGGCGACAAGUCCGGUACUACAGAAAUUGCCUCUGGGUGAUGGCUGGCUGCUGGUACCACGAUGGCGGUCAAAGACAAAGACACAAGGCCUUCCUGGAAGCAGCAAGCAGGCUGACGGAGUUUAUCUGGUUGUCGUACGUGCCUCAACUCAAGAGCCUUCGUGCCCAAAGCAAGCAGCAAAAAGGCGAGUGUGUCACAUUGCUGGAUGUCCCUUCUUUACCUGAAAAAUUUACGAAGGUCCUUGAAAAAGGUCCAAAAUUUUGUACUCCUCCAAAAAGGGAAGGUGUUCAUCUCUUGUCAACUGUGCACGACAUAGCUUCCAAAACUCAUGAAAAUAAUAAAUCCAGAUGCAUAGAAGACUGUGUUGAAGUCCUGCAAAAAGCUACUGCCUCUGAAGGAAGCCAGACAGUGUUUUAUCCGAUUGUUGAUUAUUUCAGAAAAAAUGAAUUAAACCUAAUUAUAUCUGACAAGGAAGGGGGGUUCGUUGUAACAAAUAGAGCUAUCUACCUAGAAAAAACCCAGUGUGCCAUAGACAAGAGUUUCAACCAGUUGCAAGGCUUCAGAGCGAAGGCUGUCAAAUCCAAGGCCAUUCAGUUGUGCAGCCGCCUGGACUUGGUGCCUCUAAGGAAGCUUAUCUCCACAUCAAAAAAAGACCAACUGGACAUGUUUUUUACUGCAAAAACGCACAAGCUAGGAUGUCCUUUCCGAGUCAUUGUAACAGAAAAAGGAUCGUGGCAGGCCAAUAUGUCGCGAUUCCUCCUCCGUCAUCUGUCUACCCUUCCACUGAAUGACCCUUUUUUGAUUCCAAAUUCUGACGUGCUGGUUCAAUAUCUGCAGCAAAACAACACGUCUGUUCGCUAUGGGUUUUCCCUGGAUGUUGAAGACUUGUUCUACUCCAUUCCGCACGUCAAGCUCUUCACAGCCGUAAGGGAAUCCAUCGAAGAAAACGGGACCAUCUCCUUUCAGAAUCAAUGUGGCGUUCAGGUCGAAUCUUUUUUAGAACUACUGAAGUUCUACUUGUCAGCCACAAUUGUCACGUUCAAUGAUGCAUUUUACCUGCAAAAGAAAGGUAUAUGCAUAGGGUCGUGCGUGUUCGGAGGUUCGGAGGGUCGGUGUAUCGCGGUCGGCUUGACGGCAUUGCAGCGAGCCCAGGGUUCAUUCAAAAUGGCGGAGGGUGAGGCAGCUGGCGGCAACGAUUUCGGCGAGAUCGACCUCACAUGGACGGACAAGCUUCGCAAGAUGGUCUCGAGCGACGCCGAAUGGGAGGCCAUCAUCCUAAAGAAGAUGGAGGAGAAAAGGAAUAAAGAAAUGGGCAUCGAGAGCCAAGAGCCCCCAUCUAGCCCCUUCUCUGUGGGUGGUCUCUUCACCAAGAUCCGGUCGUACAUCCCAACCCGCAAGGGGGGCACGGACGGCGGCCAGGGGCAGGCCCACGACGCCAUGGCCGAGGUGGAUGGCACUCGGGACCAGCUCAUGGAGUCCCAGUAA
rnacentral:lncRNA from 1 species